GCCUCUGUGGAUGAAGUACAUCACCUCUAGUUAGUUUUGCAUUCUUCUUCUUAAUCAUCAGGAGGAGGAGUGGGUUCGAUUCCCACCAGAGGCU